rnacentral:tRNA from 1 species
CAGACUAGAGCUUGGAUGUAUAAGCAUUUUAUUUACAUUAAAAAGAGUAUUGGUUUAAUAUAGUUUGA